AUACGGAGGGUGCAAGCGUUAUCCGGAAUCACUGGGUUUAAAGGGUGCGUAGGCGGCUCAAUAAGUCAGAGGUGAAAUCUUUCUGCUUAACAGAAAAAUUGCCUUUGAAACUGUAGAGCUUGAAUCAAGUUGAGGUUGGCGGAAUGUGACAUGUAGCGGUGAAAUGCAUAGAUAUGUCAUAGAACACCAAAUGCGAAGGCAGCUAACUAGGCUUGUAUUGACGCUGAGGCACGAAAGCGUGGGGAGCAAACAGGAUUAGAAACCCGAGUAGUCC
rnacentral:rRNA from 1 species